GGGCCCGCACAAGCGGCGGAGCAUGCGGAUUAAUUCGAUGCAACGCGAAGAACCUUACCAAGGCUUGACAUGUACAGGAAAGUUCCAGAGAUGGUUCCCCCGCAAGGUCUGUACACAGGUGGUGCAUGGUUGUCGUCAGCUCGUGUCGUGAGAUGUUGGGUUAAGUCCCGCAACGAGCGCAACCCUCGUCUUAUGUUGCCAGCACGUUAUGGUGGGAACUCAUAAGAGACUGCCGGGGUCAACUCGGAGGAAGGUGGGGAUGACGUCAAAUCAUCAUGCCCCUUAUGUCUUGGGCUUCACGCAUGCUACAAUGGCCGGUACAAUGGGCUGCAAUACCGCGAGGUGGAGCGAAUCCCAAAAAGCCGGUCUCAGUUCGGAUUGGGGUCUGCAACUCGACCCCAUGAAGUCGGAGUCGCUAGUAAUCGCAGAUCAGCAACGCUGCGGUGAAUACGUUCCCGGGCCUU
rnacentral:rRNA from 1 species